AGUAGAUAAUACAAAACACUACGUAGUUUUAUUUGAGAUAGUUUUAAGAUAUGUUGCAAUAUGUCAUGUAUUGAUCACUAGUUUUUCUAUUUGAAGACAGCAUUUGAUCCUUGCUCGACUUCUUGGUCAGCGGAUUGACUUGGACAACAUAAAGGUUGAAAGCUUGUAUCCUGAAGAAAUGGGACCAAAUCUAAUGCAUGUUGAAGAUUUUUUGGUGAAUGGCCUUCCACUGCUUGAUAAAGGCAUCCAAGAGAGGGUUGAAAGGGCUUCUUCAAAUGGCAAUGUGCUCCGUUAUGUUUGCGUGAUUGAGGACUCAAGCAGAGCAACAGUCAUGUGGGUAGAUGAGCAAGAUGGGGAAGCAAUUGAGCUUGCCUUCA